AUGAGAAAGAUCAGUCACCGAGGGUGCGGGAUCACUCGGGAUCAGAGCGUGCGAAUCCUGCGCGGCGGGAUCCGAGGCGGGGAUGGCGAGCGGCCCAAUGGCGGGGCAGCGCGAGGGGCCUGGUGGGUCCGCCCCUGGCUGGACAAAACCAACUGCCCAGCAGGGGGAGGGGUGGAUGGCCCGUUGUCGCCUUCCUUGGGAUUGGCUGGCAGGAUGGUCGCGGAUCCUGGUGGGGCCGCGCAAAGCAACAGCAGGCCUGGGGCGACCACGGGGGCGGGAUCAACCUGGGGGCGUGCACCGAUCUUCAGAAGGUGCUCGGGCGAGCCAGGCGAUGUCGCGUUGGCAAGCAGCGGGGUGGUGAGCGCGGGAGCGGUGACCCGGUCAACAGAAUCCGAAUUUGAACUGGCCGCGCCAACGGGCAAAUUUGAUAAAUUUAACCUAUAA
rnacentral:rRNA from 1 species